rnacentral:lncRNA from 1 species
AACUUUCCCGCGCGGUAGGUUCUCCUUUAAGAAAGUAGCAUCCCUAUGAAUAUUUAAUGCUGCACGCGGGCCGGCGGGGCGGAGGGGAGCCCGCGGCCUGGGUUUCCGCGCGCGCCGAGACCCGGGCGCAGAGCGAGUGCGUCCCCACCAGCCUGGCCGCCGCGGGAACUCGGGGACCGGGAGGGCGGGGGUUAGCGGGAGGAAAGGGUAAGCUGAAGAGGGGCUGGGAACGGGAGGGAGGCUCGGGGCGAACGGGCCGUCGCGUUCAUUUCCAUAAGAAAGCUGAAAUCGCAGUUGGAAGCAGGAUUUCUCGCCCCUGCAGCCCUUCCCCCAUACCCGGUUUUCUGCAAGAAGCGGGCUCCAGAGCUCAGAGCCCGAAGUGUGUGCUCUGGUCUUUGAUGAUGUUGAUAAAAUGUGGUUUCAAAUGUUGUCCCGAAGAGGCCGGUUUCCUGUCUGUAUGUGGAAUGGAAGGACCGUGCCGGGGCACCAAGAGGCACCCUGAGAACUCAGAGGACCCAGAGGCUCCCCUCAAGCAAAUUCCCUGCUGACCCUGGACACCCCUUGAAGGAGGGGGCAAGAGGCUGCCACAAGGCUCAUCUUAUAACUCCCAGCAAGGACUCCCAGCAAACAAGUUCAGCUUGGGAUCUGCCCACCACCAAGCCUGGCUGGGAGGUGGGGGGGAGCGAGGGGCGGUGGAGAGGCAGAGUCCCUGAACAGGGAAAAGACAAUCAGUUGUUCCCCUUUCUGGUGUCAGAGGCAAAGAAGCCUGAAGGGCUGGUGGUGGUGCUGGCUCUGGGUUUAUUGACUCUGUGAUCCUGUCCAGCUGUCCUACAGGGAGUUCCAGAGCUCUCCCAAAGUGCAUGAGGAACUGCACAAGUAGGACUGGGGCACAAUACCAGAAGCUAUUUGUCUCCUAGAACCUGGCACCCCCUCCACUUACCUUACAGGAGACCCACAUCACUCAGUUCCCAGGACACCUGGUGGGAGAGUCUGGUGAGAUUUGGAGGCAGACUUCCUCUACUCACAACUUGUUUGAAAAUGGACAUAAAGAGAAGAACAGACACUCCAUCGCCCCUUCAGGGCCUCCUUUGUGUCACAAAACCUAUCCCCUCCUAGGGCACCCUUGACAUUCCCCUAGGUGGGCCUACACAUUGUUCAGAACCUGUCCCCUGUACCAAAAUAAAU